CAGAUAAAUCCCAGGUUUGGUAUUCAAAUUGUAAAUGGAUAUUACAAUAUUAACCUUCAUUUAAUAGUUUAUAAAUUAAUUGCAAAGGUAAAAAUGUACAGUUAAUAUGCAGUAGGUUUUACAGAUUUCAGUGACUGACAACAACUUACUGCCUCGUCCCUUUGAACCGCCGGAGGCUCUCCCCUUGAUGAGCUGUGCGGCACCUGGUUUAACCUGCUUCCCUGAAGGUCGGCUUAAACCUGCCCAUGCACAAGAUGACCAACACAGGCCAGAGCAGGACUCAGAAGAGUGAGGAUCCAGAACGCACAUACACCCUGCCCAUGCACAAGAUGACCAACACAGACCUGAGCAGGAUUCAGAAGAGUAAGGAUCCAGAAUGCACUUCAAACACCUAGGAACAUCAACUGCAGUAUGCUGAAGAAUCCGCUGAAGAACUUGAGGAUAAUGCUCAAGCUGAGCAAUCACCCCAGGCAGCUUUCAGCCUACCCAGGCUCAAGAUCAUCAACACGGAUCUGGUCAACCACUACCUACACCUAGAAACAUCAACUGCAGAGUGCUGAAGAACUUCAGGAUGAUGCUCAAGCUGACCAAUCGCACCAGGCAGCUGUUUCAGCCAACGCAUGCUCAAGAUCAGCACGGAUCUGAGCGGGAAUCAAGACUGAGGAGAUCCAGAAAGCACUUCGUACACCUAGAAACAUCAACUGCAGAGUCCUGAACUUCAGGAUAAUGCUCAAGCUGAACAAUCGCACGAGGCAGCUGUUUCAGCCAACGCAUGCUCAAGAUCGUCAACACGGAUCUGAUCGGGAAUCAAGACUGAGGAGAUCCAGAAAGCACUUUGUACACCUAUUAACAACUGCAGUGCUGAAGAAUCUUCUGAAGAACUUGAAGAUAAUGCUCAAGCUGAACCCUUAAGCCAGGCAGCUGUUUGUUUCAGCCUCCCCAGGCUCAAGAUCAUCCACACGAAUCUGAGAUUUGGACAAGCACUUCAUACACCUAGGAACAUCAACUGCAGAGUGCUGAAGAACGUGAGGAUAAUGCUUAAGCUGAACAAUCGCACCAGGCAGCUGUUUCAGCCUGCUCAAGAUCAUCAACACGGGUCUGAGACUUCACUUGUGAACAUCAACUGAGGGCUGAGGAAGAAUCCUCUGAAGAACUUGAGGAUCAAGCUGAACCUUUACUCCAGGAAUCUGAAGUGAAGAGCUCCAGAAAAGCACUUUUCACACAAACAUCAAAACCAAGGUACUGAGGCCCAAGAAGAUUCCUGGAAAGCAGCCAAACCUGUCAUGAAUGAAUAAAUAUUUGAUCUCAAA